rnacentral:lncRNA from 1 species
CACCUCCGCAGACCCAGCGUCAUCGCCAGCUCUCUCCAAAAGAAUCACAGCCCAAGAGAGCCACUUGAUGGCAUCAGCAUACUGACCUUGCCUCUGGUUAUCAAUCCCCUUGCUCUUAGCUGAUGCAGCUGACACACCCGGUGGAGGCGGUGGCAACCCAUCAAGCUCAGUGGUUGAACCGCCGCCAGAAUCAGCCCCGCCGUCGAAACUUUCAAACCCCCAGUCUUCACUCUGCGGCGCUGCAGCCGCUGAGGUAUUGGUGGAGGUAGAAAACAUUCCUAAUGGAUCAUCUUUAACACUUGACUGCACACCAAAACCAACGUUGGAAGCAUCAAACCCUCCUGAUGAGAAUGUGCUCGACUUGGCGGCGUCCUGGAAACCCCCAAAGUCAUCGUUCGGAGUGGUUGUUCCCGCAAACCCACCACUCGGAUUCGCCACUCCAGAUUGGAAUGUCCCAAAAGCAGCAUCACUCUUUGCAUCAUUCUUAGCCUUCUCAGAGUUGAUACUCCCUGAUGAUUUCGAUCCGAAACCAACCAAGUUACCAAACGGAUCACUAUUGGAAGGAAGCCCAGAGCUACUCAGAUUGCCCCCAGACAUACUUUUCAUCGAAGGACCUCCAAGAUUUGGAGUCUUGAUACUGUUACUAGCAUUAACACCAGAAACGCCACCUGGAUUACCGCUAUAACCCCAACCACCACCACCACCACCACUGUUCAUCGAGUUACCACCACUUUUUGGCAACGCAUCAGCCAGAUUCCCCAUGGAAUAAGAGCUCUUAGGAGGAGCUUUCUUCAACGGCACGUUUCCGCUGGGUUUCCCAAUAACCGAUCCCACCAGAUCUCCGAACAAGCUCGGAUCCUUGUUAACAAUCCCAAUACCCGAACCCGAUCCGGAAGACGAGGAGCUGCUGUUCCACGUCUUCCCGUGAAUAUCUCCCACCAUCGAAGUCGGGCCUCCGAUCUCAGAUCUGAUCGUCGUCUGCUUCGGCGCGGGCUGAUGCGUCCACGAAGGCUUCCCAGGCUGAAACGCAGGUCUCGGCUGCUGCGAAUAAGAAGGUGCUUGGCUCUUCUGGCCAUUCAGAGGCUUGCCUUGGUUAGAUCCGAGUAAUAUGCGUUGAACGCCUCAUGUUCAUCAUGCCGCGUUUCUAAAAAGUAAGUUUUUUUUGUUACGACAUGACUUAUUACAGGUAAUCUUGCAUUUUAUUCACCAAAAAUUCCCACUAAUGUUGUCGGAAAGUUUUUGCCUGUAGCUCUGUAAGAAAAUAACAACCGUCAAAGUUAUAAAGUUGCUUUAUAAAAACAUUCAUGGUCAAAUAUUCCGUGAUAAAUUCAAAAAAAUGUAGUGUAUAAUAGAAUCCAUAUUGAUGACAAUACAUUCAUAACCCACACACUGCAUAAGCUGAUCCAUCAAAAAAAAAAAAACUCAGAAAGACUACACACGCAAGGUACAUUGAUGAGAGACGAAACUUAUUGAGAGGAAAACAGCAGAAGAAGAUUUGAAGGGAACUUUGUUUAUAUUUUGAGACAAUAAAGGAAAUAUCUGUAUAUGAAGGUUUGAUCAAUGAAUCGAUCAAUCACCCAGCCAUUUUGGUUAGGCGGUGAACAGUGCUUCUAGCGAUUCUAUUCCCGGGAUCGAUCUUCAGAACCAUCCUUAGAUCGUCAGCUCCCAGUUUGUAUUUCUCCAUGCUCUCGUAUAACAGUGCUCGUUGUACUAGAAUCGUCACAUUCUUCUCGUCAUGGUCAAGUACCUAAAAUCACAUUUUGAAACAACAAAAAAGUGCAUAUGUUUCAUAGUUCAUAUCUAGUUUUGUUCUCAGUUGUAACCGAAACCGUCUAGAGAGCAACUAACAAUCCAUAAACUACCACAAUGUAACGAUCCAAAAUGUACCGUAUUAUCAUAUUGCAAUACAAGUCUAUUAUCUUAUUAUCUAUCUUAGUUCCCACAUGUACCGUAUUAUCAUAUUGCCAAGUUUCAGAUACCUCAAAACUCUAAACAGUACUGGUUCAGUAAACAUUCAAGGGUUCCUAACCCCAUAGGCUAUAGCUAAAGCGAAUACAUACACAACCCAUAGCUAGAGAGUUCGUCUAUGGAUCAAAACUAUAUAGCGUCCAAAGCCAAACAAGUCUUAUUUUUAUGUGCAAUAAUCAACCAAUAAACACAUACCUUUGUGCAAUCCGAUACAGCCUUCUUAUACUCUCCGACUUCUUUGUAACACGAAGCCCUAGUCGAAAGCACCUCCGCAGACCCAGCGUCAUCGCCAGCUCUCUCCAAAAGAAUCACAGCCCAAGAGAGCCACUUGAUGGCAUCAGCAUACUGACCUUGCCUCUGGUUAUCAAUCCCCUUGCUCUUAGCUGACGCAGCAGACACACCCGGUGGAGGAGGUGGCAACCCAUCAAGCUCAGUGGUUGAACCGCCGCCAGAAUCAGCCCCACCGUCAAAACUUUCAAACCCCCAGUCUUCACUCUGCGGCGCUGCAGCCGCUGAGGUAUUGGUGGAGGUAGAAAACAUUCCUAAUGGAUCAUCUUUAACACUUGACUGCACACCAAAACCAACGUUGGAAGCAUCAAACCCUCCUGAUGAGAAUGUGCUCGACUUGGCGGCGUCCUGGAAACCCCCAAAGUCAUCGUUCGGAGUG